ACACUUUUCUUUAAAUUCUUUUAAUAAAACACUUGAUUUAACAAAUAAACUGCCCCCUUUAUUGAGCCAUGCCUAUUAUUUUUAACUGAAUGUUUUUGCUUUAGAUUAGAAUAUCGGAAAUCGAAGGGAAACAACAAUACAGAAAAUAAAAAGGGAAGAUUGGGCAUCGAAGAAGCCAGAUUCUUAUAUCCCAUGUCAUGCUGUGCCAUUUUCAGAGUAAAAGCAAGUCAAUAAAAGACACACAAACAAACAAAAAAAAGCUUUGUAGGGGCAGAGACAAUGACGAGGCUUGAAUGGAAUUUAGGGUUGUGGAUGAUGAUGAAGUGAUAAAACACCAUUACUGCAGUCUCAUUCUGGUCCUAGUUUUCUUUUUCCACACUACUGAUUUUGUGGACCAUUGACUGGGUUUGAGGUCCAAGCUAUUUGUACAUUAGGGUUUUAGGUGUUUUAUCCCUUUCAUCUUUA